rnacentral:rRNA from 1 species
AUGGCGUCUUCAUCUCUAUCAGUGGCGCUGCUCCUUCUCUGCCUGGCCGCGGCGGCGUCGGCGCAGCUGUCCCCGACGUUCUACGACGCGUCGUGCCCCGGGGCGCUGGCCACCAUCAAGAGCGGCGUGGCGGCCGCCGUGAGCAGCGACCCCCGCAUGGCCGCGUCGCUGCUCCGGCUGCACUUCCACGACUGCUUCGUCCAAGGCUGCGACGCGUCCGUUCUGCUGGCCGGCAACGAGCGGAACGCAUUCGGGAACGUGGGAUCACUGCGGGGCUUCGACGUCAUCGACAAAAUCAAGGCGACUGUGGAGCAGUCGUGCAAGCGCAUCGUCUCCUGCGCCGACAUCCUCGCCGUCGCCGCUCGCGAUUCCGUCGUCGCGGUGGGAGGGCCGUCGUGGACGGUCUCUCUGGGGAGGAGGGACUCCGACACGGCUAGCGAGGCAUUGGCCAACCGCGACCUGCCUGCCCCAUCGCUCGCCGUCACCGACCUCAUCACCCGCUUUGCCGCGAAGGGGCUCAACCUCACUGAUAUGGUUGCCCUCUCUGGUGCGCACACCAUUGGGCAGGCGCAGUGCAAGAACUUCAGGACCAGGCUCUACAACGAGGCCAACAUUGAUCCGGACUUUGCGAUGUUGCGCAACGCCAGCUGCCCUCAGGCUACCGGCUCUGGCGACGGCAAUCUGGCCCCGCUGGACUCGAUGACCCCGAACAUGUUUGACAACACCUACUUCCUCAACCUCCAACUCAACAAGGGGCUCCUGCACUCCGACCAGGUGCUCUACACCCUUGUCGGCGGUGCCACCGAAGACAUCGUUGAUGGCUUCGCAUCUAACCAGGAUGCGUUCAACAACGUCUUUGCCGCGGCCAUGGUGAAGAUGGGAAACAUCAGCCCCUUGAUUUUCCCACAGGGUCAGGUUAGGCGCAUUUGCUCCAAGGCGACCUAA